CCUACGGGAGGCAGCAGUAGGGAAUAUUGCUCAAUGGGGGAAACCCUGAAGCAGCAACGCCGCGUGGAGGAUGAAGGUUUUCGGAUUGUAAACUCCUUUUGUUAGAGAAGAUAAUGACGGUAUCUAACGAAUAAGCACCGGCUAACUCCGUGCCACAAGCCGCGGUAAUACGGAGGGUGCACGCGUUACUCGGAAUCACUGGGCGUAAAGGGCGCGUAGGCGGGAUAGCAAGUCAGAUGUGAAAACCUAUGGCUUAACCAUAGAACUGCAUUUGAAACUGUUAUUCUAGAGUAUGGGAGAGGUAGGUGGAAUUCUUGGUGUAGGGGUAAAAUCCGUAGAGAUCAAGAGGAAUACUCAUUGCGAAGGCGACCUGCUAGAACAUAACUGACGCUGAUGCGCGAAAGCGUGGGGAGCAAACAGGAUUAGAUACCCGAGUAGUC
rnacentral:rRNA from 1 species